AGGUGGCCGAGCCGGUUGAAGGCGCACGCCUGCUAAGCGUGUGUAGGUCAAAAGUCUACCGAGGGUUCGAAUCCCUCCCU
rnacentral:tRNA from 1 species